GAAUGAGAUGAUGAACAGGAUUUUGUUUCCCUAUUGGUUUGAUCACCGGUAUGAUGGUGUCUACUUACGUAUUAGCUCUAUCUGAUCAUUC